rnacentral:rRNA from 1 species
AACGAACGCUGGCGGCAUGCCUAACACAUGCAAGUCGAACGAGACCUUCGGGUCUAGUGGCGCACGGGUGCGUAACGCGUGGGAACCUGCCCUUAGGUUCGGAAUAACUCCCCGAAAGGGGUGCUAAUACCGGAUAAUGUCUUCGGACCAAAGAUUUAUCGCCUUUGGAUGGGCCCGCGUUGGAUUAGCUAGUUGGUAGGGUAAAAGCCUACCAAGGCGACGAUCCAUAGCUGGUCUGAGAGGAUGAUCAGCCACACUGGGACUGAGACACGGCCCAGACUCCUACGGGAGGCAGCAGUGGGGAAUAUUGGAGCAUGGGCGAAAGGCUGAUCCAGCAAGGCCGCGUGAGUGAUGAAGGCCUUAGGGUUGUAAAGCUCUUUUACCCGGGAUGAUAAUGACGGUACCGGGAGAAUAAGCUCCGGCUAACUACGUG